rnacentral:pre_miRNA from 1 species
GGGGGGAGGCCGGAUCCUGGGCUGUGUCCCGGCGCCCUGUGCUCCGGGGCCUGCCCUGUUGGAUUCGGCUCCCGCCCCCGCAGCCCCCU